GUAUUGCCAACGUUGUGGUACAAUGAAACUUAAGAGCGAAAUUCCAAAAAAUUCUCAAAAACCAACCAAGAAAUUAGGGUUUUAUUCUGUAGGAGGCUAAGGAUCAUGAAGGGCUCAGAGGCAAUUGGGCUAGCUCCAAGGGCUGUGGAGAAGUGUAAGAACCGUAACUAAAGUGGAAGUAUCUACAAAGACCAAAGGGAGGUGGUUCCUGGGUAUCAAAAGCUUUGAAAGAAUUUGAAGUUUGGUAUUCUAUUUUAGAAACCUAUAUGUGUUUUUGAUAUGUAUUAGCUUCUGUGUAGUUAAGAGACUGGUAAAUUUUCAUGUAAGGUAGAAGAUUUUAACUGGAGAUAUGAUUAUUAUAUAAUUUCUUUUGUUUUUCUAUAUGUAUCUCUGAACUCAAAAGUGAUGUGUAAAUGGAUUGCUUGAUGAUUGUAAUUCCUCUGCCUCUAUAACUCUAUUUUUGGUAAAUAACAAAAAUUUGUUACUCA